rnacentral:rRNA from 1 species
AAAAAAAAAAAAUAAAAUCUUAGUUUUUUAAACUGUGUAAAGAAUGGUUUAUAUGUAAAAUUUAAGCACUAAGAGUAAAUUAUAGAUUAUAUUUAUUAAAUAGUAUUUAGUAUUAUUUACUUAUGAAUGUAAGAUUAGUAGUUCUGUGUGAGCAGUAGAAUUUGUGCCAGCAGCUGCGGUUAGACUUAUGCUUAAAUGUUGGGGGCAUGUGGAAUUAUAGGCGGGAUAAACUUAGGUGAAAUUGUGUUUAAUGUUUAAUUGUUAAAUUGGUAUUGUGAUAGAAAAAACAAGGAUUAGAUACCCUUUUAUUAUCGUUGAGGUAGAGCUUAUGGUUAGAACUAAAAGAUUUGGCGGCUUAUUUAUAUUAGGGGAAUUUGAACUAUAAAUGAAAUUACUCGUUAUUUUUUACUUUUAUUUGUUUUGUAUACCGCUAUUUAAAUAAUCUAGAAAUAGAAAUUUUUUUUCUCAAGAUUUUAAGUCAAGGUGCAGAUAUAUAAAAGCUCGUUUUAAUUACAUUAGGAAUGUAAUCGGAUGGCAUUUCAAAAAAUACUUGAAGGUGGAUUUAAUUGUAAUGCAGUUGUUAUGAAUGUUAUUAAUGAGUGUACAAAUUGCCCGUCAAUCCCUCUGGGAUAAGUCGAAACAAAGUAGAUACACCUGAAGGUGUAUCUAAA